UAACUAAGUAAAACUUCUUUCAUUGUUUCAGAUUCCACAUAAACAUUACUGAAUCUUGGCAAAAGGACAUCGCGAAACUUCUCAGUAUCCCAUAUAAACAUUACUGAGUCUUGGCAAAAGGACACCGCGAAACUUUUUAGUAUUCCAUAUAAACAUUACUGAAUCAUGGCAAAAGAACACCGCGAACCUUCACAAUGUCCCAUGUAAACAUUACUGGAUCUUGCACUAAGGGAACAGCUAAAUUUUAGAUGAUUUGAUGGUGACCAGUUUUUGACAUUGACGACAUCCUUCUACCACCAUGGACCUUCUCCACCCAGUCAGCAUCUUUCAGAGAAUGGGGGAAAUUAACCACCUUUACGCAUUUAUGGUGCAUGUAAAUUAUUAUGUACUUUUUGUUAUAAGGAUAUGUAAAAAAGUAGAUUUAUUGAACAAAAUUUAAGUUAAAUAACU